UGGGGAAUAUUGGACAAUGGGCGCAAGCCUGAUCCAGCCAUGCCGCGUGUGUGAAGAAGGCCUUUUGGUUGUAAAGCACUUUAAGCGAGGAGGAGGCUACUUGGAUUAAUACUCUAGGAUAGUGGACGUUACUCGCAGAAUAAGCACCGGCUAACUCUGUGCCAGCAGCCGCGGUAAUACAGAGGGUGCGAGCGUUAAUCGGAUUUACUGGACGUAAAGCGUGCGUAGGCGGCUUUUUAAGUCGGAUGUGAAAUCCCUGAGCUUAACUUAGGAAUUGCAUUCGAUACUGGGAAGCUAGAGUAUGGGAGAGGAUGGUAGAAUUCCAGGUGUAGCGGUGAAAUGCGUAGAGAUCUGGAGGAAUACCGAUGGCGAAGGCAGCCAUCUGGCCUAAUACUGACGCUGAGGUACGAAAGCAUGGGGAGCAAACAGG
rnacentral:rRNA from 1 species